UCACGUUGAUCCUGCGUGAGAUUUCCGCUAGAGGGGGUAGAUUUAGCCAUGAAAGUGUGUUAGACUUGUUCUAACCGCAGAAUGCUGAGUAACACGUCAUUAACCUGCCUUGCGAUUUCUAAUAAUCUUGGGAAACUGAGUGUAAAAGGAAUUGGUAUCAUAAACUGGAAUGUUGUGAUGCUUAACGUAAGAUGGGAUGGCGGCUGAUUAGAUUGUUGGUGAGGUAAUGGCUCACCAAGUCUACGAUCAGUAGGGGUCGUGAGAGCGAUGACCUCCAGAAGAACACUGAGAAAAGGGUUCUAGCCCUAAGGGGUGCAGCAGGUGCGAAAACUCUACAAUGCACGAAAGUGUGAUAGGGUAACCCCUCGUGCUUACCGAGAGGUAGGCUUUUGUUAGGAGUAAUGUUCCUAUCGAAUAAGUGGUGGGCAAGACCGGUGCCAGCAGCCGCGGUAAUACCGGCGCCACGAGUGGAGAUCAUGAUUACUGGGUCUAAAGUGUUCGUAGCCGUUUUUGUAAGUCUUUUGUGAAAGUCCUAUUGCUUAACAUAGGAAUUGCAAAAGAUACUGCAAAAAUUGAGACCGGAAGAGGUAAGAAGUAUUGAUUGGGUAACAGUAAAAUGUUAUAAUCCUUUCAAGACUAACUAAUGCGAAGGCAUCUUACUGGGACGGAUCUGACGGUGAGGAACGAAAGCUGGGGGAGCGAACCGGAUUAGAUACCCGGGUAGUCCCAGCCGUAAACGCUGCGGGUUACGCUUUGCCAAAUCUACGAGAUUUGGCAGGGGGGAAGCGAAGGCAUUAAACCCGCCACCUGGGAAGUACAGCCGCAAGGCCGAGACUUAAAGGAAUUGCCGGGGGAGUACUACAAGGGGUGCGGCGUGCCGUUUAAUUGGAUUAUACACCGAGCACCUUACCAGGAGCGACAGCACAAUGAAGGUCAGAUUGAAGGUUUUACCUAAGACGCUGAGAGGUGCUGCAUGGCCGCCGUCAGCUCGUGCUGUAAAGUGUCCUCUUAAGUGAGGAAACGAGCAAGACCUAUGCCCAUAAUUACUAGCAGGGUUUACCUGCGUACUUUAUGGGGACUGCCUUAGUAACAAGGAGGAAGGUGUAGGCUACGGUAGGUCUGUAUAGCCUGAAUCUCCUGGGCUACAAGCGCGCAACAAUGGUAGGGACAAUGAGUUGCAACACCGAAAGGUGAAGCUAAUCUCGAAACCCAAUCUUAGUUUAGAUCGAGGCUUGAAACUCAGCCUCGUGACACUGGAAUCCCUAGUAACCGGACUUUAUCAGAGUCCGGUGAAUAUGUCCAUUCUCCUUGGACACACUGCCCGUCAAACCAACCAAGUGGAGUCAAGACGAGGUGUUCUUUUUUGAGGACAUCAAGUCUGGGCUACAUGAGGGGGGUUAAGUCGUCACAAGGUA
rnacentral:rRNA from 1 species